AUCGCUUCUCGGCCUUUUGGCUCAGAUCAAGUGUAGUAUCUGUUCUUAUCAGGUGGGCCGAAGGCCCAUUCCAUCAAAGGCCUUCACCAAGCUCUGGCCCACCCUCA
ensembl:snRNA U2 U2 spliceosomal RNA